AGGUGGCUUGAACAAGCAAGCAUACAUAGCAUGAACACUGCACUACCAGCUAUAAUAAUCAAAACUCCAGGUUCCAAAAUGGCACUGUCCAUGGAGCUAAACUUGAACAAUUUGUCCUCCGAUCCUUUGCUGUUAAUGUUAUUCUUUCUUGACUUUAGAGCUUUGAUCAGAGGGAUCAAAGGAAGAAGAGCUGGAUGGCAUUGAGGCGCAGUUUAAUGGGAAGCAGGGCCCUGUCUAACCACUACUGCUCAGAGGACCUGCUGGAUAAUGAAACGGCAGCAGGUGGCUUUAAGCAGCGCAAGGGCAUGAGGCCGUGUUUGCCCCUCACCUUCUGCUUCCACACAGGCCUCAGCCAAUACAUGGCCCUGGAGGGCACCGCAGCGAGAUCUUCUACCACUGCCCGGUCAGUUUCCAUAUGAGACCUCAGCCCCCGCCCCCAUUACAACAGGGAGACGGCCUUUUAUCCUCACACACAGGUUAAGGAUGAAAAUAAUAAGAAAGUCUGUAGCAUCGCUUUGUAAUGAUAAACAACUCCUUAAUUUGAGCUUUAUAUAACUUAGUUUAAAUUUUUUAUUUCACCUUUAUUUAACCAAGUAGGCAAGUUGAGAACAAGUUCUCAUUUACAAUUGCGACCUGGCCAAGAUAAAGCAAAGCAGUUUGACGCAUACAACAA